GCCGCACUCCCACUUCUGGUGGCCAGUGGCCAGGCAGAAAUCGAACCAAGCCUCCCCCUCCCGGAGCACUCUGGCGAGGGGGAUGCGGCGACUCCCGGCGACCCCGCGUGGCGGUGGGCCGGCUGCUCCGAGUUCGCUAAGCUCGCUGGAGGACGGACACCGGAGGCUAGGAAACAGGUCCAGUGUCGCGCACUCAGAAGUUGUUGUAGGUGUAUCUUUCAAAUGUUUUCACUUCGCCCCAAACACGAUGGGUUUGGUGAGCUGGACCAAGACGCGAUGGAGGAAGGUCAAAGGUGUGUGGCAUGGCCACCCUAGUUGAUUAGGGGGAUUCACGCCCUUUAUGCUUUCAGCUGGGGGCAUCCAAAUCUGGGUAAGGCAAAGCCUUCCCAGUCAUCACAAGGCAGAGCAGCCCAGAAAUCCUGGUUGCUGAUGGUUCCGGCAAACAGACAGCACACAUUUAUCCUCUUUUUCAUUGAUCACUGGAACUGAUUUGAUAACUACAGGCACUACUAUUUCUUUUUC